GCACUAUAAUGAAAAUGCUAACCGUGAGCAGGCAACAACAACUGAAGGACAGGCUGUGUAUAAGAUCGUUUUUCCAAAGUCCAAAAAAGGGGAAUGCACAGCAAAGCCAGUGAAAAUAGAACCAACAUACAACUAUGUCGAUGACCUUAUGAGCCUUCUGUUACAUAAAGUCUUUGUGGACCCCAAGCCAUAUGCGGAAGAGCUGCAUGCAAUCCCCAUUCCACCUCCUCUGUCAUCACAGUAUGAAAAACCUUCCAAAGAAGAGGUGAUUGCCCAGCGUGUGUCACGAUUCAGUCGAGGGGUGGCCGGAACCCAACAUACUGUCCCGCUGGAUCAGGAAACUGUAGACGGAUCCGGUUAACAACACAUGAGGGGAUGACAACCCUCACACUACGUCCUAGGUAGCCCCAGCACCAGCUGACAAAGCUGCGAUAGGCCAGAUAACGGAAACGCCUAUGGCAGGAAUAGAAAACCUCAAUAU